rnacentral:siRNA from 1 species
UAGCUUUGGUGUGUGCAUUUG